rnacentral:rRNA from 1 species
AUCUACGGCCACACAACAGGAAAAGUGCCUGGUCUCGUUCGAUCCCAGAAGCGGAAACCCUGUAUGGUCUAGUCAGUAUUGCGGUGGGGGACCACGCGAGAAUCCUAGAUGCCGUAGGUU